GGGGAUGUUUUUUGGUUUUGACAGCAAGGUUAAUUGAAAUGUAAGCAUGUCGAGCGUUGGGUUUUAGCUCGUUAAUCUCAAAAUUUCAAGCCAUAACUGGCAACAACAAAUAUGCUCUCGCUGCUUAAUACACAAAGUGUACAGGCUUAAUCCGGCGACCCAAGGCGGCCGUCAGACGAGGAUCUCACAAAAAGACCUGCCUUCCGGUUUUUUUGACUUUGAGGUUUCAUCUUCCGGAAGGAUAGCACGCGCGACACCUUUAAACGCAUGCGAAAAUUUAAAGGUUAAGGAUAAAACCGAUAGCUUUUUGUCAAGUUUUACCCCGACAAUCUUAAAAAAAGAUAAACAUGUAGAAAGCGCUUUGGUUACUUGUUUGGACGCGGGUUCGACUCCCGCCAUCUCCACAU
rnacentral:tmRNA from 1 species